ACCGGAUAAGAAAAGCAGAUCGCAUGAUAAGCUUUUAAAGGCGGCGUAAAGCUGUCGCUAUGGGGAUGGGCCCCGCGGUGCAUUAGCUAGUUGGCAAGGUAAAGGGCUUACCAAGGCGAUGAUGCAUAGCCCGAGUUGAGAGACUGAUCGGCCACAUUGGGGACUGAGACACGGGCCCAAACUCCUACGGGAGGCAGCAGUAGGGAAUCUUCCACAAUGGACGCAAGUCUGAUGGAGCAAACGCCGCGUGAGUGAAGAAGGUUUUCGGAUCGUAAAAAGCUCUGUUGUUGGUGAAGAAGGAUAGAGGUAGUAACUGGCCCUUUUAUUUGACGGUAAUCAACCCAGAAAGUCACGGGCUAACUACGUGCCCAGCAGCCGCGGUAAAU
rnacentral:rRNA from 1 species